rnacentral:lncRNA from 10 species
UUGUUUCAAUGGCUUUUAAAUUUGGCAAGUACUGCUACACUUUCCCGAAGUGACAGUGGGCCCUCGCAGCAACCCUCCUACCUGUACCCUCAGAAGUGAUACUUACAUAGCCCAGGAAGUGCUUCAUUAUGACUCUCCUGGCUUCUCGUCUAUAAUACUGGCCAACAUCAAGGGCUGCCAGGAGAGUUCACAGAGCUGAAGACUGUCUCCUUCACACAAGGGAGUUGUGCCAGAAACUGCAGGUGAGCCAUUAGGAGCCACAGCAGUUCUUUUGUGACCGUGAGGGAAACCUGAAGCCAGAAGCCAAGUCAAAGUAUAGCAGAACCUCAAGACCAAAGGGGCCAUGAACAUUGGUGAUGUUGUGGAGCCACCAGAAUAACCCUGUUCUUUGUGAACUUCUUUCAGAUGAAGGAAAAUAAAUCCUGAUAUUGUUUAAG